UUCAAUACUGUUGCUUGUCAACAGUGUGCACUUCUCUUUUAGUAARACGUUGUGAUCCAUUAGGAAUUGAUUAAUCCUGGUUAUUAAUCAUUGGGCUACCAAUAGUCUGGUAUUGMAGUUCAUAKWGAUAAACAAUACAAUCUUUAUGGUUAUAUAUAUUAUCUUGUGAGCAUAUCAUGUACUGAUGUAGCUGCCUUAUGGAUUUUAAAGGUCAUAACAUUAAUAUGAAUAUAUUAUCCGUUUUUACGAAUGGAAUUUUUGYUAUAUACCCGAUCAAUAACGGAUUCMUUUGCGAUACCUUUGGGACCCGUCUUGAAACACGGACCAAGGAGUCUAUCUAGYAUGCAAGYACAUGYGAUAAUARAACCUAUUUGCGUAAAUAACUUCUCUGUUUUAUUCAUGGGAUUACCACCMGCAUUUUAAUACAAUGUACUCCUCCAUCCCGGGGUAUUUUCAUAAUAUAUAUGGGUAACACUAUAUAUAGAAAAUAUACCAUGAGCAUACUGGAUAUGACCCGAAAGAUGGUGAACUAUGCCUGAUCAGGUUGAAGUCAGGGGAAACCCUGAUGGAGGACCGAAGCAAUUCUGACGUGCAAAUCG
rnacentral:rRNA from 1 species